rnacentral:rRNA from 1 species
AACGUAGGAGACAAACGUUAUCCGGAGUUACUGGGCGUAAAGGGCGUGUAGGUGGUUUCGUAAGUCUGGCGUGAAAUCCCUCGGCUUAACCGGGGAACUGCGUCUGAUACUGGAUGGCUUGAGUUUGGGAGAGGGAUGCGGAAUUCCAGGUGUAGCGGUGAAAUGCGUAGAUAUCUGGAGGAACACCGGUGGCGAAGGCGGCAUCCUGGACCAACACUGACACUGAGGAGCGAAAGCCAGGGGAGCAAACGGG